UAUGGUGUGAACACUUCUGUCUCUAGUGCUCUUUGAGCCCCUGGCAGCUUGAUGGACACUCUUUUGACCCGCCCUCAUCAUGUGUCUGACUAUGAUGAGCAUGUUUGGCUGUAUGGUGUUAACGUGGAUGGCCAGAAAGACACAGUGUUGGAGAGGACGAGGAGAGGACGACGGGGGGACGCAUGCUGACGGCCUGGUCGUUCCCAAGGACAGCCUGCUCCCAGCAUGUCGUCUCUCAUUGGCUGCUGGGUCUUAAAGGGCCUGCGUCCUGCUGAAUACAUGGCCUGUCUCAAGCUCGCCUACGGUCAGACACAUCGCUCCAUCGCUCCGGAGAGCCGAUUAUUCUACACAACGUGGCGCACAAAUACGCACAAGCAGUACAUAAAUGAGCACACCGACACACACACACACAUAUGCGGGACACAUUCAACCGAGCACACACACCCAACAGACCUAGAAGUGACAAAUCAUCAGCUCAGCAGAUCCAGCAGGAGAAAACCAACUGCUCCACACCAACUGUGGCAAAUCACAGACAAAAUGGCUGCAUGUCUUUUGGAGUGGCGUUACUUAUGGGGAGAAUUAGAAAGCAUUGGAGAAGAUACCAGGGAUCCAAAACACUGAUCCAGGUCAUAAGUUCCCUUUUUGAUCUGUUAAGUAAUCUUUUACAAAAGCCAUUACCCCUAGUUCAUGACACUGCCAUUAGUUACCACCAGUAAGCCUAUCUGGAGACAAAUGACCUUAUACACUUAAACGGUUGGUUUAAGCCUAAUGGCCUGGGAGACAUUAGUGGUUUAUAUGUGCUAGCAGACAAUUAAAAAAAACAUACAUGCAAACUAAUUCAUAAUUAUUAUGCUUGAUUGAUUCAAAAUAAAAUUACGUAAUUUUUUUGUCCA